rnacentral:rRNA from 1 species
UACGGAGGGGGCUAGCGUUGUUCGGAAUUACUGGGCGUAAAGCGCACGUAGGCGGCUUUGUAAGUUAGAGGUGAAAGCCCGGGGCUCAACUCCGGAAUUGCCUUUAAGACUGCAUCGCUAGAAUAGUGGAGAGGUAAGUGGAAUUCCGAGUGUAGAGGUGAAAUUCGUAGAUAUUCGGAAGAACACCAGUGGCGAAGGCGACUUACUGGACACAUAUUGACGCUGAGGUGCGAAAGCGUGGGGAGCAAACAGG